CCUACGGGGGGCUGCGGUGAGGAAUAUUGGUCAAUGGGCGAGAGCCUGAACCAGCCAAGUCGCGUGAAGGAUGACGGCCCUACGGGUUGUAAACUUCUUUUGUCAGGGAGCAAUUGGGUCCACGCGUGGGCUUAGCGAGAGUACCUGAAGAAAAAGCAUCGGCUAACUCCGUGCCAGCAGCCGCGGUAAUACGGAGGAUGCGAGCGUUAUCCGGAUUUAUUGGGUUUAAAGGGUGCGUAGGCGGAAUAUCAAGUCAGCGGUAAAAAUUCGGGGCUCAACCCCGUCGUGCCGUUGAAACUGAUGGUCUUGAGUGGGCGAGAAGUAUGCGGAAUGCGUGGUGUAGCGGUGAAAUGCAUAGAUAUCACGCAGAACUCCGAUUGCGAAGGCAGCAUACCGGCGCCCAACUGACGCUGAAGCACGAAAGCGUGGGUAUCGAACAGGAUUAGAUACCCCUGUAGUC
rnacentral:rRNA from 1 species